rnacentral:rRNA from 1 species
UGCGUAGGCGGGAUAUCAAGUCAGGGGUGAAAGGCCUGGGCUCAACCUGGGAACUGCCUUUGAAACUGAUAUUCUUGAGUCCGGAAGAGGAUGGCGGAAUUCCCAGUGUAGAGGUGAAAUUCGUAGAUAUUGGGAAGAACACCGGUGGCGAAGGCGGCCAUCUGGUCCGGCACUGACGCUGAGGCGCGAAAGCGUGGGGAGCAAACAGGAUUAGAUACCCUGGUAGUCC